rnacentral:rRNA from 1 species
UAGGGAAUCUUCCACAAUGGACGAAAGUCUGAUGGAGCAACGCCGCGUGAGUGAAGGAGGGUUUCGGCUCGUAAAACUCUGUUGUUAAAGAAGAACAUAUCUGAGAGUAACUGCUCAGGUAUUGACGGUAUUUAACCAGAAAGCCACGGCUAACUACGUACCAG